rnacentral:lncRNA from 13 species
AAGAGAGCUUGAGCCAGGAAGGGUUUGAGUCACAUCCUGGUUGAGCCAGAAGGCAACAGGAUGUGUUCCUGGAACGGGCAGGCAGCCUCAUAGAGGAAAUGAAAGCACAGCCAUGGAGCUAACUAUGGCACCACAGCUUCAAAGGGCUGGGGUGCAAUGGUGCGAUCUUGGCUCACCACAACCUCCGCCUUCCGGGUUCAAGUGAUUCUCCUGUCUCAGUCUCCUGAGUAGCUGGGAUUACAGCUGAAGAAAACUCUGCUUUUAAAAGGAUUCAUCUGAUUCGAUUGGGCCCACCUGGAUAAGCCCUCCCUUUG